rnacentral:misc_RNA from 1 species
CUCAAUUGCAGGUAGGACAUCAGAAGACGUUUUUCCACUGGCUGUCAAAAUAGAAAUUGUAUAAAAUGGAUGCGCUGCGCUUACGUGGUUCGCAAUUCAAUCGUUAUGGAGGCAGCUCAGGGUCAGGCGGCAACAACCCGAACCAGCCUCCGCCACCGCAGGUGCACAGCAAGCCGGAGCCUUUGAUUGUAGUGGAGGAGUCCAACUUGCCGGAGGAACUGGAGGACAGCUCAGAGACAACCUUUUCGAAUCGCGCCAGUCUGGACAUUGACUCGCCCGUAAACCCCUAUUUGCUCUCCCCUUGGCGGGAUCCGCGCGAGGCCCGUAAGCACUCGCUGCCCUCACAGCAGGUGACCGAUGGAAUCACCGCCAGUCAGGUGAGGCGUCUGUCCGAGCGCGGCGGCGAAGGAUCCGGUCCAUCGCCCAAGGAGGCCGCCUUCCUCGCCACCCUCUCACAAGCGCCGGCCCCAUCUGGACGUCGCCACUCAGUGGUCACCAUCUCCAAGGUGCCCACCACUCUCUUUGGACGUUCGCGCCGUGAAUCGGUGGCCGCCUAUCCGAGCAGCAAUGGCAGCAGCCGUGUGCUCAACUCACGGCGGGAGAGCAACACGGGUCCUCCCUCUACAGACCCCAUCGGCAGCAUCCAUAACUUGCAGCUGGACAUUAUGGACGACAUAUAUUUGCAGUCACGAAAGGCCCGUUUAAAGCUAUGGACCUCCAGCAAUGAGAAGGUCUGUGAGGUACAGACCGUUGACGAGGCCGGGACCGCGGCCCCGGGUAGGCGCUACACCAACCGCCGCUUUUCGGAGUGCCCCCAGCCGCAGCCGGCCAGCAGCUUUCGCCGGGCCUCUGAAUAUCCGCAUCCACCGCCGCAGCCGCAUCCGCAGGCACAAACACACGGACAUGGGCACGCGCCUUCAUCGCAGAAGAGCAUCUCGCCCCAGCCGCCGUUGUCGGCCAGGGCCUCGACACGCCGCAAGAAGUCGGGCAGUGGCGUAGGCCUGCUUGGAAGCCGCACGGACAUCGCUGGGAUCUUCAGCUCUUUGACCAGCUCUGCCAUGGACAUGCACCGCUCAGAGCCGGAGGGGAGCUCCAGUGCCAGUGCCAGCUCUUCAGCGGCCACCGCUGGAAGCAGCCCGUUUCUCAGCCAGACGUUCCAAAACGCCGCCCGGGGCCGCGCUACUAGUGCCACGCCUACGCCCACGGCCCACACUGGGGGGCAGGCGGCCGCAGCAAGCAGCAGCUCACUGCUAGACCCAAAUGCAGGCCGCUCCACACGAUCCAACAGCUUCGACGUCUCGAUCCUGAACAACGCCAAGCAGUUGGUGAGCGAGGCGCAGGACAACAGCUCUGCCGCCAUAUCCGGGUGGUUCGGCAAGCCGGCAAGUCGCCCACAGCCGUUGGCGCGAAAGAAAAGUGUGCGCAGCAAGAGCACGGCCAUGGCCCUCUCAAAGGACAUGUUGGAGCGAUUGCAGAAGAAGGACCCGCUCGGCGGAGACUCCGGAAAACCGAAGCUCAAGCCGCGCAGCAAGCAGAAGAGCUGGGCCGACACCACCAAGGCGAACAUCGUGGAUGCGACCAUGCUGGGCACGGCGAUCGAGGGUUUCUUACGCAAGAGCUCCAAUGCCGGGAUGGCCGGAGCCGGAGGUUCUAGCGGUCCGUCCACAUCGGCGGCGGUCCGCGGGGCUGUUCCCAAGGAGUCAAACAGCGCCACCGGCAGUCCGGCCGGAGCCCGUCGCAGCCGGGCGUCCGCGGGCAGUGGCGCCCAGUCUCAGGCCGGGCGGGCAAUGCGCUCCACUCUCAACUGGUUCAGCAAGGGCGAGGAGGAUGACUCGAAGGAUACGUGCGAUGCGUCGUUGUGUUCGACACUCAAGGACCUAUUCGUGAAAUAGGUCGGGGGACGCAGAGGCAAGUAAAGCUCUGGGACUGACCCACCAACAGAUCCUGGCCGUUCAGCAAAGGCGAGCUACUUGUAUCUCUGAGAUCCGGAAAUAUUCGUAUCAUUUGUUAACCAUCGGAAGAAGCCGACAGGUAAAGCGAACUUCAACACCAGACACCAGUUAGGCAGCGAACAAAAAGAGUACCCGCACACUUCAUUGUCAC